GACAACAACAACAACAACAACAACAACAACAACAACAACAACAACACCACCACCAGCGCCACACCACAGCCGUCGUCUUUCUGCAGGGCCACACACCUCGCGCAGACGGCAAGAGAAAUGUGGAGCAGAUCGCGAACACACCAGGCGUUCCUCGCGUCCUGGAGAGAUUUCGACGCUGUGGUGGGGCCGGGGACCUGAGCGGCGGCGGUGGAC